GGAUUGGCUGAGAGGACAGAUGUGAAAGCAGCAUCAUGAAGACUGAUGGAAAAGCUGCUAUUAAACUGACAAAGGAGGAAAGAGUGAAUGGGAAAACGUCCUUCCAGCCCUUGUUGAUGAGGGUCCAUCGCCAACAGUCUUUCCAGAACAUCUCCGACAACACCAGGCAAUCUGUGGCUGAAAAGAAUGUACGAAAGUUUAC